rnacentral:rRNA from 1 species
UAGGGAAUCUUCCGCAAUGGACGCAAGUCUGACGGAGCAACGCCGCGUGAGUGAAGAAGGUUUUCGGAUCGUAAAGCUCUGUUGUUAAGGAAGAACGAGUGUGAGAAUGGAAAGUUCAUGCUGUGACGGUACUUAACCAGAAAGGGACGGCUAACUACGUGCCAGCAGCCGCGGUAAUACGUAGGUCCCGAGCGUUGUCCGGAUUUAUUGGGCGUAAAGCGAGCGCAGGCGGUUAGAAAAGUCUGAAGUGAAAGGCAGUGGCUCAACCAUUGUAGGCUUUGGAAACUGUUUAACUUGAGUGCAGAAGGGGAGAGGGGAAUUCCAUGUGUAGCGGUGAAAUGCGUAGAUAUAUGGAGGAACACCGGUGGCGAAAGCGGCUCUCUGGUCUGUAACUGACGCUGAGGCUCGAAAGCGUGGGGAGCGAACAGG